rnacentral:rRNA from 1 species
AUGACUCUCGGCAACGGAUAUCUCGGCUCUCGCAUCGAUGAAGAACGUAGCGAAAUGCGAUACUUGGUGUGAAUUGCAGAAUCCCGUGAACCAUCGAGUUUUUGAACGCAGGUUGCGCCCGAAGCCGUUAGGCUAAGGGCACGUUUGCCUGGGCGUCGUA